UCGCUUCUUUCUAGUUUUGUUUUGCAUUAGGCUUCGUCCGAUCGUCAAAAAAAAGCAUACAUGCAUAUUUAAUUUAUAAAAAGGCUGCAAUGUAACAGACAUAAAGAAGAAAGUAUACAUACGUUGCACUCUCCCGCGGAUAGGAAUCGAUGAGAUGCGGAGACAGUGUGGCAGGAUUUACACUUGGUAUUGCGCCGGGGAGCUGUAUGGCAUUGAAUGAUCAUUGUGCGGGGAGCGUCCCUUAUGCGCUUUCUCCGAAUGACGAAUCGGAUCACAUGGACGUGUGGCACUCCGACUGGCAGGCGCCUGAAGCUGAUAGCAAUGACGGAGCCAAUCCUGAGGAUGACCUCAUGCAUGAUGUGCUAGCUGAGCAGCGCUCAAAUGGCGAGGAUAAUGAACUUAACCAUCAGCUUGUGCAGCAAUUAAAUUUGUUGAGGACUCGGAGUAUUUGCGUGAUCCUGGAGAAUUUUUAUUCGUUGCGGUGGACCAGAAGAACCUAUCAAAAAUGAUUGCAGCACGCCAGAAAAUUUAGAACAGAAGCUAAAAAGCCCAAACCAGUUCCAGAUUCUACAAUGCAGGAGGUAUCACCCGUUUUAGAGGGCCAACGUCUAACGACCCACCAUAUACACCGCCUGAUCGAUUUGUACUGCUCGGAGCAUCGUCUCUGGAACCAGUCGCAUUCCUCAACAUGGAGCUGUGCCGCGACUCCUGGAGUAGGAUAACGAAUGCCUGGAGUACUUAUUGCUGCCGAAGCUUCGGCGUGACGGAAGUUCGGAUACGCGUCUCGACGCUGUGUCAAAGAUUUCCCAAGCAAAGGAAGCGCUAGGAGGCGGACUGUGAAUUGGAUGAUAUUACCAAGUUUACGCACUUUGAACAAUUGAGCUUCCUGUGCAAGCAGCAAUCUUUAUAAAAACGGCAUCGUCACUAUGCCCGAAAGAACAGCCGUCUACUACAGCUUUACGAACAAUAUCCGGUCCUAUGGCACAAUGCACACAAACGGGUUCGAUGUGACGCUCUCCUGGGUCUCCAGAUGGCAUCACGACUUUCGGGGAUUAGCCUGUCGCCCGUGGUUAUCCAGCGACGGUUGCAACCGCUGCGCAAGCGAUAUCGACUGGAAAAGAUAAGCUAUCUGCAAAGUGUGGUGGAGGGAAAGUGUUCGAACCCGAAUUUAUAUCCGGGUUCGAACACUACACGGAAAUGGAGUGCCUGCACAAGCACAUCGAACCUUAUGUGUGUGCUGUUCGUAGAAAGAUUUUUGAGAAUGUAGUAGGUCACCAAAUCCAUGUGCAGAGCAACUGUGAAGUGAAAAAAUUGGGUAAUGCUAAAAACCAGGAGAUGGGAAAACGCAUAAAAGAAGGGCUAAAUGAAGAGAAGAAGUUGGUAACCGAACACGCAGUUGAUUUCUUAAAGGAAAAUUUGAAAGUACCACAAUGGACAAUGAUGCCAAAGGCAUGAACGCAAAUUCCGAAGCACCUUCCAACAAAACGAAACCUAAUUAAUGUGGUUUGCUUUAUUGGAUUUCUUGUAAA